rnacentral:rRNA from 1 species
ACUAGCUAACUGAAAUCAGAUUUAGCAAAACGAGAGUUGGGCUAAAUUUGAUAUGUAAGGCAAAAAAUAAUGAUGAAUCCUUACUAUUAGUGUCGCCCAAAUCUAGUGCCAGAAGACUCGGUAAGGCCAGAGACGCAAACGUUAGUCGUCAUUCACCGGCGUAAAGGGUUCGAGGCGGCUUUAAGAUCUCUUUUUUUUAAAAUAGCACCCUUACAGGGUUAAGAAAAGAGACAAUUAACGCUAGACUCAUAAAGAGGUCAUAUUGAUAAUCUAAGACUAUAAGGGGUGAUAUCUUAAGAUACUUGGCGGAAUAUUAAAGGGCGAGGCUUUUUUCUCCAUAACUGAUUGACGCUGAGUUUGUGUGAAAGCUUGGGGUGAAGUUAUUAAGAGGUUAUCUACCUUAAUAUUAAAGUAGGGGUAAAUUGCUUUUUAUGCUAAGCAGCGUGACACUUUAGUUUAAUAUUUAACGAAGGCUGAUUCCUAUGGUUAGGGAAACCGAACUUAUGUAUUUAAAGUAUAUUAAUUAGACAAGUAAUUGUCCUGGUUACUUGUAGGCAAACAUAUUAGUUAAUAUUACAAGUAAGAACCUAAGAGAAUCUAUUGUACAUAUUUAGAACAAGGUAAUGCCUAUAACCAGCAAUUGGAACCUACUAACACAUAGUGGUUUAAUUGCUAGCUUUAUCGCAAGGUAAUGUAUAUGGUUAGAGGUAAAAGGAUUUAG